rnacentral:rRNA from 1 species
UACGUAGGUGGCAAGCGUUGUUCGGAAUUACUGGGCGUAAAGCGCGCGUAGGUGGUUUGUUAAGUUGGAUGUGAAAGCCCCGGGCUCAACCUGGGAACUGCAUUCAAAACUGACAAGCUAGAGUAUGGUAGAGGGUGGUGGAAUUUCCUGUGUAGCGGUGAAAUGCGUAGAUAUAGGAAGGAACACCAGUGGCGAAGGCGACCACCUGGACUGAUACUGACACUGAGGUGCGAAAGCGUGGGGAGCAAACAGG